rnacentral:rRNA from 1 species
UACAGAGGGUGCAAGCGUUAAUCGGAAUUACUGGGCGUAAAGCGCGCGUAGGUGGUUUGUUAAGUUGGAUGUGAAAGCCCCGGGCUCAACCUGGGAACUGCAUCCAAAACUGGCAAGCUAGAGUACGGUAGAGGGUGGUGGAAUUUCCUGUGUAGCGGUGAAAUGCGUAGAUAUAGGAAGGAACACCAGUGGCGAAGGCGACCACCUGGACUGAUACUGACACUGAGGUGCGAAAGCGUGGGGAGCAAACA